GGUUGUGGCUCAGUGGCAGAGCGUUUGCCUAGCAUGUAUGAGGCACUGGGUUCAAUUCUCAGCACCA
rnacentral:tRNA from 1 species